rnacentral:lncRNA from 1 species
GAUAAAGUUCUUAGGGGCUUAGAGUGGGAUCUAGAAGUACAUGUACAAGAACUAGAUAUAUGACAUCUUUCUUAGGUCAACAUUGCAUAGCAUAGAACUUAGGAGUAAAGAUAAAUGUAGGCAGGUCAGCACAAAAGUAGAUUUACCCUCUAGUUCAACUUUAAAAUGUAAUUUUGAUCAGGACAAGCUCAAGAGGUUCUAAUUUCAGGUUCAUU